GAUCCUGGCUCAGGUUGAACGCUGGCGGAAUGCUUACACAUGCAAGUCGAACGGCAGCACGGGGCAACCUGGUGGCGAGUGGCGAACGGGUGAGUAAUACAUCGGAACGUGCCCAAUCGUGGGGGAUAACGUAGCGAAAGUUACGCUAAUACCGCAUACGAUCUACGGAUGAAAGCGGGGGAUCGCAAGACCUCGCGCGAAUGGAGCGGCCGAUGUCAGAUUAGGUAGUUGGUGGGGUAAAGGCUCACCAAGCCAACGAUCUGUAGCUGGUCUGAGAGGACGACCAGCCACACUGGAACUGAGACACGGUCCAGACUCCUACGGGAGGCAGCAGUGGGGAAUUUUGGACAAUGGGCGCAAGCCUGAUCCAGCCAUUCCGCGUGCAGGAUGAAGGCCUUCGGGUUGUAAACUGCUUUUGUACGGAACGAAACGGUCUGCCCUAAUACGGUGGGCUAAUGACGGUACCGUAAGAAUAAGCACCGGCUAACUACGUG
rnacentral:rRNA from 1 species